AGUCGAGCGCACCUUCGGGUGAGCGGCGGACGGGUUAGUAACGCGUGGGAACAUACCCUUUGGUACGGAAUAGCCUCUGGAAACGGAGAGUAAUACCGUAUGAGCCCUUCGGGGGAAAGAUUUAUCGCCAAAGGAUUGGCCCGCGUUAGAUUAGGUAGUUGGUGGGGUAAUGGCCUACCAAGCCUACGAUCUAUAGCUGGUUUUAGAGGAUGAUCAGCAACACUGGGACUGAGACACGGCCCAGACUCCUACGGGAGGCAGCAGUGGGGAAUCUUGGACAAUGGGGGCAACCCUGAUCCAGCCAUGCCGCGUGAGUGAUGAAGGCCUUAGGGUCGUAAAGCUCUUUCGCCUGUGAAGAUAAUGACGGUAGCAGGUAAAGAAACCCCGGCUAACUCCGUGCCAGCAGCCGCGGUAAUACGGAGGGGGUUAGCGUUGUUCGGAAUUACUGGGCGUAAAGCGCACGUAGGCGGACUGGAAAGUUGGGGGUGAAAUCCCAGGGCUCAACCCUGGAACUGCCUCCAAAACUAUCAGUCUAGAGUUCGAGAGAGGUGAGUGGAAUUCCGAGUGUAGAGGUGAAAUUCGUAGAUAUUCGGAGGAACACCAGUGGCGAAGGCGGCUCACUGGCUCGAUACUGACGCUGAGGUGCGAAAGUGUGGGGAGCAAACAGGAUUAGAUACCCUGGUAGUCCACACCGUAAACGAUGAAUGCCAGUCGUCGGGUAGCAUGCUAUUCGGUGACACACCUAACGGAUUAA
rnacentral:rRNA from 2 species